GAGUUUGAUCCUGGCUCAGGACGAACGCUGGCGGUGCGCCUUAUGCAUGCAAGUUGAGCGAAGCUUUUUGGUAGUUUACUACUAGAAAUGACUGAGCGGCGAACGGGUGAGUAACGCGUGAGCAAUCUACCUUAGUUACUGGGAUAGCCCGAGGAAACUCGGAUUAAUACCGGAUAUUCUUAUUUUUUCACAUGAAGUUUUAAGGAAAGGUCAGCCGAACUAAGAUGAGCUCGCGUUCUAUCAGCUAGUUGGUGGGGUAAAAGCCUACCAAGGCUACGACGGAUAGCUGGUCUGAGAGGACGAUCAGCCACACUGGGACUGAGACACGGCCCAGACUCCUACGGGAGGCUGCAGCAGGGAAUAUUGUGCAAUGAGCGAAAGCUUGACACAGCGACACCGCGUGUGGGAUGACGGUUCUAGGAUUGUAAACCACUUUCAGGAGGGAAGAAAAUGACGGUACCUCCACAAGAGGACCCGGCCAACUAUGUGCCAGCAGCCGCGGUAAUACAUAGGGGUCAAGCGUUGUCCGGAUUUAUUGGGCGUAAAGAGCUCGUAGGCGGUUCAACAAGUCGGUCGUAAAAGUUUAGGGCUCAACCCUAAAAUGUCGAUCGAUACUGUUGUGACUAGGAUACGGUAGAGGUGAAUGGAAUUCCGAGUGUAGCGGUGAAAUGCGUAGAUAUUCGGAGGAACACCAAUUGCGAAGGCAGUUCACUGGACCGUGAUCGACGCUGAGGAGCGAAAGCUAGGGGAGCAAACAGGAUUAGAUACCCUGGUAGUCCUAGCUGUAAACGAUGGAUACUAGAUGUAGGAACUGGAUUGACGGUUUCUGUAUCGUAGCUAACGCGUUAAGUAUCCCGCCUGGGGAGUACGGUCGCAAGACUAAAACUCAAAGGAAUUGACGGGACCCCGCACAAGCGGCGGAGCAUGCGGCUUAAUUCGAUGAUACCCGUAGAACCUUACCUGGACUUGACAUAUAGGGAAAAACUGGAGAAAUCCAGUGUGCGUAAGCGCCCUAUACAGGUGGUGCAUGGCUGUCGUCAGCUCGUGUCGUGAGAUGUUGGGUUAAGUCCCGCAACGAGCGCAACCCCUGUCCUAUGUUGUCAGCAAGUAAUGUUGGGGACUCAUAGGAGACUGCCGGUGAUAAACCGGAGGAAGGUGGGGACGACGUCAAGUCAUCAUGCCCCUUAUGUCCAGGGCUGCACGCAUGCUACAAUGGCAAGUACAACGAGUCGCAAUACCGCGAGGUGGAGCAAAUCUCUUAAAGCUUGUCUCAGUUCGGAUAGGAGUCUGCAACUCGACUCCUUGAAGUUGGAGUCGCUAGUAAUCGCAAAUCAGCAAAGUUGCGGUGAAUACGUUCUCGGGGUUUGUACUCACCGCCCGUC
rnacentral:rRNA from 1 species